rnacentral:snRNA from 1 species
CGAACCGUGAAAGCGUGG